rnacentral:hammerhead_ribozyme from 1 species
GUCCAGCUGACAAAUCCCAAAUAGGACGAAACACACGUCCUGGAU